AGGGAUUGCCUCAGUAACGGCGAGUGAAGCGGCAAAAGCUCAAAUUUGAAAUCCUUCGGGAAUUGUAAUUUGAAGGGUUCAACACUUGGUGGCCAGCAGUUUAAGUCCCUUGGAACAGGGCGCCUGGGAGGGUGAGAGCCCCGUGAAACUGCUUCCCGCUACCUCUAUGUGUUUUUCCCGACGAGUCGAGUUGUUUGGGAAUGCAGCUCAAAGUGGGUGGUAAAUUCCAUCUAAAGCUAAAUAUUGGCGAGAGACCGAUAGCGAACAAGUACAGUGAUGGAAAGAUGAAAAGCACUUUGAAAAGAGAGUGAAACAGUACGUGAAAUUGUUGAAAGGGAAGGGCUUGCAAGCAGACACGGUCCUCGGACCGGGCCAGCAUCGGGUGGGAGAGAUGGACAAGGCCGCGGGAAUGUAGCUUUUGUUUCGGCAAAAGUAUUAUAGCCCGCGGAGAUACAUCUACCCUCGCCCGAGGCCUGCGACAUCUGUCUAGGAUGCUGGCGUAA
rnacentral:rRNA from 1 species